ACACACAUGGUGAAACGGUAUCAUGCUUGCCUUCCAUUCUUUGUUAUAGCAAGCGGCGCGGGUUCGACUCCCGCUGUGUGUA